rnacentral:lncRNA from 1 species
CCUCUCUCUCUUUUCUUCUUUCUUUUUCUCUUCAGCUUCAAUCAUUCCAGCAUACAAAAAAAAAUUUUUUUUAAAUGGUAUGCUGUGUUUACACUCUGAAUGCUCACACAAAAAGUGUCAGCAAAGUGCACACAGAUAUAUGUACACAUUGUGGGUUGUCAUCAGUGUAGUGGUAGGCUUUUUUCCAUCCGUGAAUUAUCCUGCCUGAGACAAGAUGAGUUGGCUGCCCAGGAGCUGAGAUCUCAGUCUUAGAGGUACCGCCUCUAAACAGAUGAAGUCUGAAGAACUUCUGCCUAAGGCCAGAACCAAGAGAAUGGAAGAAGAUCUCCUCUGAAUCUAUCAGCCUGAAAGGAGAAACAGCAGCUACUGCUGCCACUGAUGUGUGAAAUCUGCUGCCCAGAAGGAAGCCUUUGUAGCUGCUGUUCAGCCUGCCUCAGUCUGCAAACAC